rnacentral:rRNA from 1 species
GACGAACCGUGCGAACGUUGUUCGGAAUCACUGGGCUUAAAGGGCGCGUAGGCGGUUGGUCAAGUCAGGGGUGAAAUCUUUCGGCUCAACCGGAAAACUGCCUUUGAUACUGACUGGCUGGAGGGAGAUAGGGGUUGCGGGAACUACCAGUGGAGCGGUGAAAUGCGUUGAUAUUGGUAGGAACGCCGGUGGCGAAAGCGCGCAACUGGAUCUCUUCUGACGCUGAGGCGCGAAAGCUAGGGGAGCAAACGGGAUUAGAAACCCCAGUAGUCC